rnacentral:lncRNA from 1 species
UCGACGAGAGAGCGUCAGCGACGGGACGGGGAAAAACAAGGGGGGUCGCAGGCAAUGAGAAUAAUUCGACCGAUCGGGAGGUCGACCGCGCGUUUCACGGGACGCACAGUAACUCUCGGUCUUCCUUGACCGCCUCGUCGACUUCGAUGAUCUUCGAGCCCGCGAGCAGCUGCAUGAUCAGCCCGGACGUCACGAUCGGCGAGAUCCCGAGCUCCAUGCACGUGCCGCGGUUCGACGCCAUGAUGACGCGCGCCCAGUAGAAAGGAUCCGCCCCGCUCGCGGUGUGGAUCCCGUACAGCGGGAGCUGCGAGCACACCAAGAACACGAACAGCGCGACCGUGGUGUACAGCGCGCGCUCGCGGAAAGGGACCUUGCGGUCAGCGGCCUUCACCUCGGGUAACACCGAGAGGAAAGGGCGGACGAGGUGCAGGACGCGGAAGCCCGACGACAUCGCGACCGAUUGAUCUCAAUCAAUUCCGCGGGGGGAUGACGACCCGAGCGCGCGUUCGAGCCCUGACGCCGCCGACCGCGACCGAUCGGGGUGGAUAUCUCUCGUAGAGAAGCCCUACGAGACGC